rnacentral:lncRNA from 1 species
GUCCAGAACUUUGGCAAUUGUGCACCUCCAGGGAAUCUUACCAACAAGGGCAAAAGUACACUUAUGACCUAAAGGUGACACAAAGAAAUAGUAUCAGAUCUACCCUAAUCAGACCUGGAUUAGCCUUCCCAUGCACAUGGUCGUACAUUGUGACUCCAUGUUCCUGUUGGAUAAGGUUCUAAAUACAAAACUGGCACUUAUGGGUGAAGAAGGGAAAGGAGACAGAGACAAAGUCAGGGAGUCAAAAUGCCUGUGGCAGAACAGUGGCAACUCUUAGGAUGGCUGUGACACAGGAAGAGUCAAGGAAACACGAGAAGGAAAGCAACGUCCCUGUCUGGGAAUCUGCCUGGAAGUCAAAAACUUCAACUCAGCUGCUGAAAUUGGAACCACCCCUGGAGAUAGCGCUUGUCUCCUUAGAGACAAGCAAGGGUAGUGGUGUUUGCUUAGGACCAGAAGGGGCUGGCAUUUGCUUAGGACGCGGAGGGGCUGCAGUUUAACUGCAUAGCCACUCCUGUCUUACCCCCAACCCCAAAAGAUGUUCCUCAUGAAACCUUGGCAAUUUCAUUUAAUAGAGGAAAUCCUUAAAAAAAAAAAU